AGAACGCAGCAAAAUGCGAUAAGUAAUGUGAAUUGCAGAAUUCAGUGAAUCAUCGAAUCUUUGAACGCACAUUGCGCCCGCCAGUAUUCUGGCGGGCAUGCCUGUUCGAGCGUCAUUUCAACCCUCAAGCUCAGCUUGGUGUUGGGACUCGCGGUAACCCGCGUUCCCCAAAUCGAUUGGC
rnacentral:rRNA from 1 species